CUAUCAGGUAGUUGGUGGGGUAACGGCCUACCAAGCCGAUGAUCCGUAGGGGGCGUGAGAGCGUGGCCCCCCACACUGGCACUGAGACACGGGCCAGACUCCUACGGGAGGCAGCAGUGAGGAAUAUUGCACAAUGGGCGCAAGCCUGAUGCAGCAACGCCGCGUGAGGGACGAAGGCCUUCGGGUUGUAAACCUCUUUUCUGAGGGACGAGGAAGGACGGUACCUCAGGAAUAAGUCUCGGCUAACUACGUGCCAGCAGCCGCGGUAAAACGUAGGAGGCGAGCGUUAUCCGGAUUUACUGGGCGUAAAGCGCGCGCAGGUGGCUUCGUGAGUCGGACAUGAAAGCUCCUGGCUUAACUGGGAGAGGCUGUUCGAUACUGCGGGGCUUGAGGUUGGGAGAGGGACGCGGAAUUCCCGGUGUAGUGGUGGAAUGCGUAGAUAUCGGGAGGAACACCAGUGGCGCAAGCGGCGUCCUGGCCCACACCUGACGCUGAGGUGCGAAAGCGUGGGUAGCAAACAGGAUUAGAUACCCCGGUAGUCCACGCCGUAAACGAUGACAACUAGGUGUUGGGUGUCCAAGGAUGCUCAGUACCGCAGCAAACGCGAUA
rnacentral:rRNA from 1 species